CCUACGGGUGGCAGCAGUGAGGAAUAUUGGUCAAUGGACGAGAGUCUGAACCAGCCAAGUAGCGUGAAGGAUGACUGCCCUAUGGGUUGUAAACUUCUUUUAUAUAGGAAUAAAACGAGGCACGUGUGCCUUUUUGCAUGUACUUUAUGAAUAAGGAUCGGCUAACUCCGUGCCAGCAGCCGCGGUAAUACGGAGGAUCCGAGCGUUAUCCGGAUUUAUUGGGUUUAAAGGGAGCGUAGAUGGGUUGUUAAGUCAGUUGUGAAAGUUUGCGGCUCAACCGUAAAAUUGCAAUUGAUACUGGCAGUCGUGAGUACAGUUGAGGUAGGCGGAAUGCGUGGUGUAGCGGUGAAAUGCUUAGAUAUCACGAAGAACCCCGAUUGCGAAGGCAGCUUACUAAACUGUGACUGACAUUGAUGCUCGAAAGUGUGGGUAUCAAACAGGAUUAGAUACCCGAGUAGUC
rnacentral:rRNA from 1 species